rnacentral:lncRNA from 1 species
CUGCUUCAUGCCCAACCUCCAUGCCUGUUUCACCAGAAACUGUGGGUUCAACAUCAUGUAUAUUGCCAUCUGAUGACCUCCCCGAAACGCCCACCUCCAUUUCCCGAGUUCCUUCUUCACCCAUAUUAGCAUUAUCAGCCCUGAGGUCUAGAGAAGGAAUUGGCACCUCCAUGGUUUCUUUGGAAUCAGAACUACUUGUCCUCUGAACAGAAUCCACCUGCACCUCCUGGUGUACCCCUACUUGGUUGGUACCGUCAUCGGCUAUGUCACGCUGAGAAGAAUCCUGAGGCAUAAUGCUCUCCUCCGAAAUGGGCAAUUUCUCGC